rnacentral:tRNA from 2 species
UGGGGUAUCGCCAAGCGGUAAGGCACCGGAUUCUGAUUCCGGCAUUCCGAGGUUCGAAUCCUCGUAUCCCAG